GUAAUUUUAUUGAUUGCAAUUUGAGGGACCUGUCUGACAACCCAGGCGAAGGUCCAGAGAAUUUAAAUUUGCUGGCUCUGUAUUUAACCCUGUAACCUUCCAUGACACCCUAAAACCUGUACAUGGCAGGUACUGUUUUACUCUGGAGACUUCGCUGAACACAAAUAUUAGUGUUUCAAAACAGUAAAACAUAUCACAGCGAUGAUAUUGUCAGUGAAAGAAACGUUUUUUUUGCAUUUUUCACAUACAAACGGCACUUUCACUGAUGGAGUAGCUACUACAUCUUUUACAAGUGCCCUCUAGUGGUUGACAUUUGUAAUGAUGUGCUAAUAUUGCACACAAUAGUGAUCCUGUGUAGCAAUGAAAACAAAUACCUCUUGUUUUCUGCAAUGGAGAAAGUAAGCAACGUAUUAAUGUAACAUUACAGUAUUGGCAGAAAGUAGGCACUAUUUAAAUAACUAUUGCUAUUUUGCAUAGAUUUUACAUACUUUACUUGUAUAUUGUGUUUGCCAGCUAUUUAGAACAUAAUGAUGUAAUAUGUUGCUGCAUAAUACAUAUAACAAAUAAUUAUAGAUAAAAAGUCUGAUUAAAGCAACAGCUUAUUGCACUUUAAUGGUGUUUGUUGACCACACAGAUCCAAAUUAUGUAGAUUUAAAGGGUAAACUCCAAUAACAGGUCAGUUGACACCAUAUGUGUCAAUCAAUAUAAUGGGAAUAUAAUUAAAGGGACACAAACAAAGUGAUUCAAUUCGUAGAUUGCAGAGAAUGGAGAGACUGCAGAGGCAUAAUCUAUAUAACAAAACUGAUUAACCCCUUAAGGACCGGACUGUUUUGACCAUGUUGUACGUUAAGGACCAGGGCUGUUUUAACACUUUUGUGGUGUUUGUGUUUAGCUGUAAUUUUCCUCUCUCUCAUUUACUGUUCCCAUA